rnacentral:rRNA from 1 species
AGAGUUUGAUCCUGGCUCAGAUUGAACGCUGGCGGCAUGCCUUACACAUGCAAGUCGAACGGCAGCACGGGGGCAACCCUGGUGGCGAGUGGCGAACGGGUGAGUAAUAUAUCGGAACGUACCCAGUAGUGGGGGAUAACUAUCCGAAAGGAUAGCUAAUACCGCAUACGAUCUGUGGAUGAAAGCAGGGGAUCUUCGGACCUUGUGCUAUUGGAAUGGCCGAUAUCUGAUUAGCUAGUUGGUAGGGUAAAAGCCUACCAAGGCGACGAUCAGUAGCUGGUCUGAGAGGACGACCAGCCACACUGGAACUGAGACACGGUCCAGACUCCUACGGGAGGCAGCAGUGGGGAAUUUUGGACAAUGGGGGCAA